GAUGUAGCGGUGAAAUGCGUAGAGAUCUGGAGGAAUACCGGUGGCGAAGGCGGCCCCCUGGACGAAGACUGACGCUCAGGUGCGAAAGCGUGGGGAGCGAACAGGAUUAGAUACCCUGGUAGUCCACGCCGUAAACGAUGUCGACUUGGAGGUUGUGGCUUCCGGAGCUAACGCGUUAAGUCGACCGCCUGGGGAGUACGGCCGCAAGGUUAAAACUCAAAUGAAUUGACGGGGGCCCGCACAAGCGGUGGAGCAUGUGGUUUAAUUCGAUGCAACGCGAAGAACCUUACCUGGUCUUGACAUCCAGGUGCUGCAUGGCUGUCGUCAGCUCGUGUUGUGAAAUGUUGGGUUAAGUCCCGCAACGAGCGCAACCCUUAUCCUUUGUUGCAACUCAAAGGAGACUGCCAGUGAUAAACUGGAGGAAGGUGGGGAUGACGUCAAGUCAUCAUGGCCCUUACGACCAGGGCUACACACGUGCUACAAUGGCGCAUACAAAGAGAAGCGACCUCGCGAGAGCAAGCGGACCUCAUAAAGUGCGUCGUAGUCCGGAUUGGAGUCUGCAACUCGACUCCAUGAAGUCGGAAUCGCUAGUAAUCGUGGAUCAGAUGCCACGGU
rnacentral:rRNA from 1 species